rnacentral:snoRNA from 1 species
UCUCUCAUCAUUGAUGUUUCUGUCUUUCUCUCCCUCUCCUCCCUCUCUUAAGUCAAUAAAAAUAAAUAUACAAAUGUGGCUACAUUGAGACACAGGUUAUGCUUCCAUCACAGUAAUCUUAUUACAGUGGUGACAAUGAGACCUGUAACAUUU